UUAUGGUAAUAUUCUUUGUGUUAGGGCUCAGCUGCAGGCGGACCCUCAAUGUGUAUAUAAGAUUGCUCUUCCCUCCCUUGUGUCAGAUGUCAGAAGAAAAUCAUACUGAACCACUCAGCUGAUUUUCUUCUCAUCCUUCCAAGCUUGGACGGUCUUGAUGCAGACACUCACUGGUGACAAAACUAGAGUGAAGGGACCUGAGAAGAAACUGAUUUUCCUACUGUUGUGGGGGCUCGUCUGGGAUAUAUCUGGUCAGAGGGGCGCCCCACACCCACAUGAUUGAAGUGCUGGCCAGCCAUCUAAUUCUAACAAUGCCUUGAGGAUAAACUGUAUGGUUGCUAUCUGAUAGCAGAGGAGCUGAACACGCAGCGCUGUUUAUCAAAUAGAAACUGUCAGUUCACACCAUGAGCUGGAGAAGUGUGUCUGUUGUUGUGACUGGACUUAUCACCCUAUGCUUGGUGGUGUUGAUUUCACUGCCUGCCUUACGUCACCAGCACAGGUGAUGGAGUGAGCAUGGACAUUUAGAUUGGGAGGAAGAACCAGGAGAGGAUCCUAUUGGAGUGAACCUGUGGUAUAAAUAUGUGAAGGUUUUGGUAAAAUCAUACAAUGUGUCGAAUUGUUUUGUUUGUUCAGUGAUGCCUUACUCAGCCAAACAGAACACCUUAUAUGGUAAACCAAUGAAUAAAACUCAGGCUAAGUGUUAUGCAAGCUUUGCUGGAAGUGGUUAUCAGGACCACCAAAUUCAAAUAAAUUAUUCUGAUAGUGAUAGGACAGGCCUAAAAAUGGAACCUGUGAUUCAAUAUUUUGGGUAAAAUUUAAUCAUACCUCACAAGGAAGACCAAUUGGACACAAGGUUUUCUUUAACCACACCUUGAAGCAUCCUAUAUGUUAUAAUCAGACCAAUGGCAUUAUCUAUAUGGGCAGCACUCUCAACUGUGAGCAGAUAUGGUGCAGUGGUGAGGGAGCGCCCGUAGGUAUGUCGGGCCCCUCUAAUGGCACCUAUAUUGUCCAAGGUGGAUGGUGGAUAUGUGGGCGAACAGCCUACAUGUCACUACCCGCAAACUGGAUUGGUCAAUGUGCCCCAAUACAUGUUACUGAUCACACGUUCAUCAUAGCCACUGCACCCGGCACUGGAUCAAGGAGAAGACGAUGAAGAGUGCCUAAUUUUGUGCCCCAUGACCCCAUAUGGGGUGAGGACGUUCCUGAUGAGUUCAAACUAUGGUCCACGAGUAACAAGGUCACAUUGUCCUUGUUUCCUCAGAUAGGUGUGGGAAAGGUUAUGCUAAGGCUUGAAACAUUGGAUUACAGGUUGGGAUUAUUCAUUAAUGCAUCUCAAGUUAUAGAUAAGGCCCAAAAUAAGGAGAUCUCUAACAAUAGAACUAUGGUCAUGCAAAAUAGGAUGGCACUCGACCUUUUGACUGCUUCUGGUGGAGGUGUGUGCGUAUUGCUGAACACGACAUGUUGCACGUAUAUAUCAGAUGACAUCAAUAGUGAUGCUAUGAGAGAUGCCUUAGGAACCCUGACUAAAUUGAAAAAUGCUAUAACAGCUGACUAUCGCCCCGAUCAUAACGGUGGAUGGAAUAUUUUGCACAAUCUUUUUGGCUGGGUGACGCCUUUUAUAUUAAUGAUGAUUCCUAUUAUUGUUGUUGUAUUACUGAUUUGCUGUUGCGGCCCAUGUCUUGUACAAUGUAUAAUGAAUCGUGUUUAUGCUACCAUUGAGAGUAUGACUGGUCAUGGGUAUGAGCGACUUCAUAUGCGUUAGGCUUUUUAGAGCCUAAAAGAGGGGAUUGAAGGAUUUGAUUAUUA